UACGAAGGGGGCUAGCGUUGCUCGGAAUUACUGGGCGUAAAGCGCACGUAGGCGGAUUGUUAAGUCGGGGGUGAAAUCCUGGAGCUCAACUCCAGAACUGCCUUCGAUACUGGCGAUCUCGAGUUCGGGAGAGGUGAGUGGAACUGCGAGUGUAGAGGUGAAAUUCGUAGAUAUUCGCAAGAACACCAGUGGCGAAGGCGGCCUACUGGGCUGUCACUGACGCUGAGGCGCGAAAGCUCGGGGAGCGAACGGG
rnacentral:rRNA from 1 species